GGUUGAUCCUGCCAGUGGAAUAUGCUUGUUUCAAAGAUUAAGCCAUGCAUGUGCAAGCAUGCGCUGAAGUAAAGUGAAGCCGCGAAUAGCUCAUUACAACAGCCGUAGUUUCUUGGAUCUCAUCUCUACUUGGAUAACUGUGGUAAUUCUAGAGCUAAUACAUGCAAACGAGCUCCGACCUUGCGGGACGAGCGCAUUUAUUAGAACAAAACCAUCCGGACUCUCGCGAGUCCGUUGCUGGUGACUCUGAAUAACUGAGCCAAUCGCACAGUCUAGCACUGGCGAUGCAUCUU
rnacentral:rRNA from 1 species